ACCUGCUCAAUGAAUUUUUAAAUAGCCGCAGUACCUUGACUGUGCAAAGGUAGCAUAAUCAGUUGGCUUAUAAUUGAAGUCUGGCAUGAAUGGAUUUACUGGAAAAAAUUGUCUACUAAAAAUAAAUUGAAGUUACUUAAUAAGUGAAAAUUCUUAUAGAUAUAUAAAAGACGAGAAGACCCUAGAAAUUUUUUAUAAAAUUAUAUAUAAAUAUUUUGUUGGGGCGACAAGGUAACAAAUAACCUACCUAUUUUCUUUUUGAAUCUUAUUUGAAGAUUAAUUAAAUUACUCUAGGGAUAACAGCAUUAUUUAAUAAAAAGUUUGUGACCUCGAUGUUGGACUAGGAAAAUUUUUAUUUAGAAGAUAAAAAUAUAGGCUCUGUUCGAGCUUCUUUUCCUACGUGAUCUGAGUUCAGACCGGA
rnacentral:rRNA from 1 species